GACGAACGCUGGCGGCGUGCCUAAUACAUGCAAGUUGAGCGAUGAAGAUUGGUGCUUGCACCAAUUUGAAGAGCAGCGAACGGGUGAGUAACGCGUGGGGAAUCUGCCUUUGAGCGGGGGACAACAUUUGGAAACGAAUGCUAAUACCGCAUAACAACUUUAAACAUAAGUUUUAAGUUUGAAAGAUGCAAUUGCAUCACUCAAAGAUGAUCCCGCGUUGUAUUAGCUAGUUGGUGAGGUAAAGGCUCACCAAGGCGAUGAUACAUAGCCGACCUGAGAGGAUGAUCGGCCACAUUGGGACUGAGACACGGCCCAAACUACUACGGGAGGCAGCAGUAGGGAAUCUUCGGCAAUGGACGAAAGUCUGACCGAGCAACGCCGCGUGAGUGAAGAAGGUUGUCGGAUCGUAAAACUCUGUUGGUAGAGAAGAACGUUGGUGAGAGUGGAAAGCUCAUCAAGUGACGGUAACUACCCAGAAAGGGACGGCUAACUACGUG
rnacentral:rRNA from 1 species